UGAUAGACUUGUUUCUCUAUCUGGCGGUAUCCCAUGCCCCUUCUUUCCACUACCUUCUCUCUCUCUCCUUCUUUUGGACAAUAUUGCUCUGUUUCUUAUCCGGCUGUUCUGAGCCCUGCUACAAGAGGUUCUCUUCUUACCACGCAAGGAGCAUCGAUCCUCAGUCUCUCGCGUUCUCUGGGUUGCAGUGGUCCAACCGUUUGGUUCUCUUUCUCCUCCUCCAUUAAUGCAGCCAGUUGUUCUGUCUCUCUGGAACAAGUUUGUUGAGUCUAGAGGCAAGAUUCUUAUGCAACUGUUAAAAAAGAGGCCAGUUCUUAUUUGCCGCAGGCUCAAAGUUGUCUCUUAUAAUGGAAUUGCACUCUCCACUAGAAACGAUUCGGUGCUUCUCAUUGAUCCACCUGUUGGAGAUGCAAGCCAGUUGAAAAAUUGGGCAAUGAGGAAUGAGAGCCAGUUUGCUACGCUGGUUCAGGAAAAAACGUAUAACAUGCAUAGUCCAACGUAUAACAUGCAUAGUCCGAGUAUGUUUCAUCAGUCAAAACACAAGUUUUGUACGAUACAGGCUGUUCUAGCAAAUCAGAAGCUCUCGUGGGUGAAAGCUCGUUUCUGUUUCCAAAACAUAUUCCACAAAUAUUGGUAUAUGUCUUGUGUUAAGUGUCAUCGUCAGACAUCGGCCAAUUAUGGGCACACUUUUACCUGCAAUCACUGUAAUGAAAGGCAGACUGCGACCCUAAGGUGUCGCUUUGAUGUUGAUCUCAUUGAUGAUACCGGCGUUAUGACAGCCUCUGUAUUUGGUGAAUUAGCUGAACAAUUACUUGGAAUUUCUGCAGUUGCGGCAAUGGAUUUUUAUAACAGAACGAAGAAUUCCCACUCGAACUAACCCAUGACACAUUGAAGUCGAAGACAUUCAUUGCUCAAGUUAAGCCUAGAAACACCAAAGAUGAUGGGACUUAUCAGCGCUAUACGAUUGUUUAUUACUUUGAGGACAACAAAGACUAUGAACUUCUUGAGGAACAACCCCUGAGUAGUUCUCAGGUGGCCAGUCAGCUUUCUGUAGCUGAUACUCCAGAUUGUUGCUAAAUACUUAGCCGUAUACUUAUUUAAAUACUCAUGCACGAUUCUUUUUAUGAUAACUCUUUGAUUGGUUUAUUGCAUAGAAAAACCAUGCUUUUUUUCCAAGAACUAGCUCUGCUUUGAUAGGAAGCAAAAUGUUUCUGAAGCUGAAAGUCAAUCUUUUGCAGUUAACGUUUCAGAUAAGCCGUGUGGUUUCUCAAAGACACGCGUUUGCCUUGCAAAAAGAAUGGAGCUCAGCGAGGAAGCCGAAGGCACUAUAUCAGAAUCUUGUGAUAUUGCGAGCAGCAAAAAGCCAAGGAAUGCUUGAUCUGCUUGUCCUCAUCAGAAGAAAAUUCCCGGUUCUAUUUUCAAAUCAGCUUGCUUCAAAAACGGCCAAAUUAUGAAGUUAUUCCAUGGAAUCGCUGUUUGGCAUGUAACAAUCAAUGAUGGGUGCUUUGAACAAGGCUGGGAAUCCUAUAGCACAGAUAACCUGAUUCACAAAUAUGACUUGCUUUUCCUGCAAUGUAGAGGGAAUUUAGCUUGCGAUGCGCUGGCUUUUGGCACAACACAAAUCCUCACAUUGAUGCCAUGGACACUGCCUUUGCCAAUGGUGCCAAAUUAUCAAAAAAACCAACCAGGAAAUUAUUCUCUUCUGCAGUCUUUCUCCUUAUUUUGCUUUAUAGCAUUCAUGUUCGUUAAAGGCAAUUGAUUUUCAUGUAGAUUCUGCGGUUGUCGAAAACUCGAACCGUAUUACAUCAUCCAUACAUCCAUUCUUCGGCCAUAAUCUGGCGGCAUUUACUACUUUCUACCAAUUUUAUACUAGAUGCCAUAGAUACA